CGCGCCACCACGGGAGCGCUGCAAUAACGCGAUUCAUUCGCUAGGGUCCUCGAGUGGAAAUAUCUAUUCCGUUUAAAGAGAUCUAUAGCUGUUCCUGUAUUGCAUGAAAUAUCAAGCCAGACGUAAGCCCAUGCAACAGUUUCCCCGAGAAUGCUUUUAUUCAAAAAUCAACCAAUGAAGACCCACGGCACAGGCGGCAACAAAUCACUCUCUCCACUGAUGUCCACACUGCUGAUCGCAGCACUUGUAAAAUGUCGUCAUCGGCUCGUCUGCGGACCUCGUCUGGAUCUGCAUAAAGUAGGCCCUCUCGUGACCGCACUUGGGACAUUUUUCUUCCGUCGAGUCCACGUUUUCCCACGCAGCUGCUCCGCCCAAGACGUCGUCCACGUCCUUCAACCUGGGGUAUUUCCGGUUGGAAAUCUUUUGUCGGAUAUUGUAGACGUAGGGACAGGUGUUGCAAGCGAAGCGGUAGCACAAGAGGCCGUUCUCCACUAUGAGGAUGUUGGCGCACGUGGGACAGAACAGCAGCAUGGUUGUCCGGUUUGCAGACGGUCUUCACUUCAGGAAGAGGAUGUAGAAGCCGGUAGCGACGCAAGUGAGCGAAACAAACAGGUGGAGUCUCGUACCGAUGACGGAAGCUGGGGAGUAGGAUGGAACAUGUAACAUGUCAGUACUGGGUAGUAAUAUUGCAUUAUAUUAUUAAUAAACAUUUUAAUUAAUUA